GAGUUUGAUCCUGGCUCAGAUUGAACGCUGGCGGCAGGCCUAACACAUGCAAGUCGAGCGGAAACGAGUUAACUGAACCUUCGGGGAACGUUAACGGCGUCGAGCGGCGGACGGGUGAGUAAUGCCUGGGAAAUUGCCCUGAUGUGGGGGAUAACCAUUGGAAACGAUGGCUAAUACCGCAUAAUAGCUUCGGCUCAAAGAGGGGGACCUUCGGGCCUCUCGCGUCAGGAUAUGCCCAGGUGGGAUUAGCUAGUUGGUGAGGUAAUGGCUCACCAAGGCGACGAUCCCUAGCUGGUCUGAGAGGAUGAUCAGCCACACUGGAACUGAGACACGGUCCAGACUCCUACGGGAGGCAGCAGUGGGGAAUAUUGCACAAUGGGCGCAAGCCUGAUGCAGCCAUGCCGCGUGUAUGAAGAAGGCCUUCGGGUUGUAAAGUACUUUCAGCAGUGAGGAAGGUGGGUAUGUUAAUAGCAUACUCAUUUGACGUUAGCUGCAGAAGAAGCACCGGCUAACUCCGUGCCAGCAGCCGCGGUAAUACGGAGGGUGCGAGCGUUAAUCGGAAUUACUGGGCGUAAAGCGCAUGCAGGUGGUUUGUUAAGUCAGAUGUGAAAGCCCGGGGCUCAACCUCGGAAUUGCAUUUGAAACUGGCAAACUAGAGUACUGUAGAGGGGGGUAGAAUUUCAGGUGUAGCGGUGAAAUGCGUAGAGAUCUGAAGGAAUACCGGUGGCGAAGGCGGCCCCCUGGACAGAUACUGACACUCAGAUGCGAAAGCGUGGGGAGCAAACAGGAUUAGAUACCCUGGUAGUCCACGCCGUAAACGAUGUCUACUUGGAGGUUGUGGCCUUGAGCCGUGGCUUUCGGAGCUGACGCGUUAAGUAGACCGCCUGGGGGAGUACGGCCGCAAGAUUAAAACUCAAAUGAAUUGACGGGGGCCC
rnacentral:rRNA from 1 species